GGGGAGAUACUCAAGCGGUCAACGAGGACAGACUGUAAAUCUGUUGGCGUAUGCCUUCGUAGGUUCGAAUCCUGCUCUCCCCACAA
rnacentral:tRNA from 1 species